UGGGGAAUAUUGGACAAUGGGCGCAAGCCUGAUCCAGCCAUGCCGCGUGAGUGAAGAAGGCCCUAGGGUUGUAAAGCUCUUUCGCCGGGGAAGAUAAUGACGGUACCCGGAGAAGAAGCCCCGGCUAACUCCGUGCCAGCAGCCGCGGUAAUACGGAGGGGGCUAGCGUUGUUCGGAAUUACUGGGCGUAAAGCGCGCGUAGGCGGUUUGUCAAGUUGGGGGUGAAAUCCCGGGGCUCAACUCCGGAACUGCCCUCAAAACUGGUAGGCUAGAGUGUGGGAGAGGAGAGCGGAAUUCCCAGUGUAGAGGUGAAAUUCGUAGAUAUUGGGAAGAACACCAGUGGCGAAGGCGGCUCUCUGGACCACAACUGACGCUGAGGCGCGAAAGCGUGGGGAGCAAACAGG
rnacentral:rRNA from 1 species